rnacentral:lncRNA from 1 species
AUAACAGGGAUUGUCAUAUCAGAGAGACACCCCCAGACCCCCCGGACCACACCAUCACACAGUGACAAGAGCUCACAGGGCACACAAUCAAGUGUUCCCCCGCCCCCACUGCCCCUGGGGCAGCCUCACUCCUGGGACCCCCUGGAGCUGGGCGCAGCCGGUGGCCGUCAGCGCCAGCGGCAGGGCCCCCCGCGGCACACGUGCACUCGCCGCCCGCAGCCGCACCCCGCGCACACGCCGGCGGGGCUAACGAGCCCACAGGCCUCCAGGGCGGGAUGAAGCCAGUUGUCGGGCGGGGCCGCGGCGGUCACACAGCAUUAGCCCUGCGGCCGCCCCGCCAGGCCCGCUGGAGUCACAAGCCCCAUCCCAGACUCUCCAACGCUGGACCUGCAGCGCCCAGCCCUGCCCUGGUGCUACCACCUGCCAGCUCUGUGCCUGCCCCUCCACUAGAUCAUGACUUCGGCUCCAGCUCCCUCACUCUCCAUGCCUCUCACUUGCGGGUUGUGCCCUGCUCAGCUGGCCAGACUUUGGCCCCCUCCCUACCUGGAUUUGUGAAGCCCCAAAUUUCAUCUCCCCCACCACACUUAUUCACAGCCUCCGCCUGCUGACAUACCCAGGCAAGACUCCCUUCCCCUCCAGGCAGCCAAACUUCAGUUCGAAUCUUCUGGCUCUUACCAGACCCCUGAUGAAUCCCAGGAUCUUCGCAGGUGGUCCCAGGGCCUCUUUGAACCACAGUUUUACUUAUCUGAAAAAUAAAAAGGC